rnacentral:rRNA from 1 species
ACGAACGCUGGCGGCGUGCCUAAUACAUGCAAGUAGAACGCUGAAGAGAGGAGCUUGCUCUUCUUGGAUGAGUUGCGAACGGGUGAGUAACGCGUAGGUAACCUGCCUUGUAGCGGGGGAUAACUAUUGGAAACGAUAGCUAAUACCGCAUAACAAUGGAUGACACAUGUCAUUUAUUUGAAAGGGGCAAUUGCUCCACUACAAGAUGGACCUGCGUUGUAUUAGCUAGUAGGUGAGGUAACGGCUCACCUAGGCGACGAUACAUAGCCGACCUGAGAGGGUGAUCGGCCACACUGGGACUGAGACACGGCCCAGACUCCUACGGGAGGCAGCAGUAGGGAAUCUUCGGCAAUGGGGGCAACCCUGACCGAGCAACGCCGCGUGAGUGAAGAAGGUUUUCGGAUCGUAAAGCUCUGUUGUAAGUCAAGAACGAGUGUGAGAGUGGAAAAUUCACACUGUGACGGUAGCUUACCAGAAAGGGACGGCUAACUACGUGCCAGCAGCCGCGGUAAUACGUAGGUCCCGAGCGUUGUCCGGAUUUAUUGGGCGUAAAGCGAGCGCAGGCGGUUUGAUAAGUCUGAAGUUAAAGGCUGUGGCUCAACCAUAGUUCGCUUUGGAAACUGUCAAACUUGAGUGCAGAAGCGGAGAGUGGAAUUCCAUGUGUAGCGGUGAAAUGCGGAGAUAUAUGGAGGAACACCGGUGGCGAAAGCGGCUCUCUGGUCUGUAACUGACGCUGAGGCUCGAAAGCGUGGGGAGCGAACAGGAUUAGAUACCCUGGUAGUCCACGCCGUAAACGAUGAGUGCUAGGUGUUGGAUCCUUUCCGGGAUUCAGUGCCGCAGCUAACGCAUUAAGCACUCCGCCUGGGGAGUACGACCGCAAGGUUGAAACUCAAAGGAAUUGACGGGGGCCCGCACAAGCGGUGGAGCAUGUGGUUUAAUUCGAAGCAACGCGAAGAACCUUACCAGGUCUUGACAUCCCGAUGCUAUUUCUAGAGAUAGAAAGUUACUUCGGUACAUCGGUGACAGGUGGUGCAUGGUUGUCGUCAGCUCGUGUCGUGAGAUGUUGGGUUAAGUCCCGCAACGAGCGCAACCCCUAUUGUUAGUUGCCAUCAUUCAGUUGGGCACUCUAGCGAGACUGCCGGUAAUAAACCGGAGGAAGGUGGGGAUGACGUCAAAUCAUCAUGCCCCUUAUGACCUGGGCUACACACGUGCUACAAUGGUUGGUACAACGAGUUGCGAGUCGGUGACGGCAAGCUAAUCUCUUAAAGCCAAUCUCAGUUCGGAUUGUAGGCUGCAACUCGCCUACAUGAAGUCGGAAUCGCUAGUAAUCGCGGAUCAGCACGCCGCGGUGAAUACGUUCCCGGGCCUUGUACACACCGCCCGUCACACCACGAGAGUUUGUAACACCCGAAGUCGGUGAGGUAACCUUUUGGAGCCAGCCGCCUAAGGUGGGAUAGAUGAUUGGGGUG